UACGGAGGGUGCAAGCGUUAUCCGGAUUUACUGGGUUUAAAGGGUGCGUAGGUGGUUCUGUAAGUCAGUGGUGAAAUCUCCGAGCUUAACUCGGAAACUGCCAUUGAUACUAUAGGUCUUGAAUUAUCUGGAGGUAAGCGGAAUAUGUCAUGUAGCGGUGAAAUGCUUAGAUAUGACAUAGAACACCAAUUGCGAAGGCAGCUUACUACGGAUUUAUUGACACUGAGGCACGAAAGCGUGGGGAUCAAACAGG
rnacentral:rRNA from 1 species